rnacentral:misc_RNA from 1 species
UUACCUUGUUACGGCUUCUUUGUCAUAGAUCUACUUGUGGUAAUCGCCCUCCUUGCAGUUAGGCUAACCGCCUACCGUAAAACCCGCUCCACAUGGUGUGACAGGCGGUGUGUACAAGACCGGGAACGUAUUCACGCGACAUACAGUCCACGAUUACUAGCGAUUCCGACUUCCGCAGUCGAGUUACGGGCCUUUUGCGAUCCGGACUACGAUCAGGUUCUGGUUGCUCCUCGCAGGUUGGCGACCUCUGUCCCGGCCAUUUGUACGCCCGGUGACGUGUGGAAGCCCUACCCAUAAGGGCCUGCGGGGACUUGACGUCAUCCCACCUUCUCCUCCGGUUUAUCACCGGCAGUCUCAUUAGGUAACGCUUUCAGUAGCAACUAAUGGCAAAGGAGUUGCGCUCGUUGCAGGGCUUAACUAUCUCGACACGGCUGACGACAGCCAUAUGCAACGCCUGUGUUCCGGUUCUCUUGCGGAAAACAUCCCCGUCCUUCGGGAUUCCCGAACCCGUAAUCGAGGGUGAGUAAGGUUUUUUGCGUUGGGCAUCGAGAUUAAUCCAGCAUCAUCCACCGCUUGUGCGGGUCCCGUCAAUUCGCUGGUUUAAUCACGACCGUAUACACGAGCGGUCAACCUGCGUUGGCACCGCUACCAAGGCCGAGGCUUCCCCAACAGCCUAAUUUGACAUCGUCGAGCGUGGACUUCAGAAAUUAUCUAAUCCUGUUCAUACACGCUUUCGUGCAUGAGCGUCAGUGUUAUCCCGAAGCGCAUGCGCCAUCGGUGUUCCUCACCUUAUCUGCCAUUUCUGCUGUUUGCCACGCGGGAAUUCCACCUCCCUCUGACACACUCUAGCUCUGACAGUUAAAAAUGCCUGGUUAAAGUUAAGCUCUCAAAGUUUCACAUCUUUCUUCC